rnacentral:rRNA from 1 species
UUUGAUCCUGGCUCAGAUUGAACGCUGGCGGAAUGCUUUACACAUGCAAGUCGAACGGCAGCACGGGUGCUUGCACCUGGUGGCGAGUGGCGAACGGGUGAGUAAUGCACCGGAACGUAUCCAAUAAUGGGGGGAUAACGCACCGAAAGGUGUGCUAAUACCGCAUAAGCUCUGAGGAGGAAAGCGGGGGACCGAAAGGCCUCGCGCUGCAGGAGCGGCCGAUGUCCGAUUAGCUAGUUGGUGAGGUAAAGGCUCACCAAGGCGACGAUCGGUAGCUGGUCUGAGAGGAUGAUCAGCCACACUGGGACUGAGACACGGCCCAGACUCCUACGGGAGGCAGCAGUGGGGAAUUUUGGACAAUGGGGGAAACCCUGAUCCAGCCAUGCCGCGUGAGUGAAGAAGGCCUUCGGGUUGUAAAGCUCUUUCGGUGGGGAAGAAAUUGCUUGGGUUAAUACCCUGAGUAGAUGACGGUACCCGCAUAAGAAGCACCGGCUAACUACGUG